AUUGAUUACGGUUGGUUGAGAAGUAGCAGUAAAAGGCAAGCCCAAUUUUGGCCUUCCCAAAUGAACAUCACUAAAAUUAACUGAGAUGGAUUCUCCCUGAGCUAGUUCGGCUAACUCAAGUUUGAGGACCAAGACAAUGGAAAGACUGCUAGCCAGCUGAAUAUACAACUAGCAUUCCAGCCCAAGUGGGGUGAAAAGGAACAGAUUCUCAACAACUCCCACCCAGUGAGCAUGAAAGACCCCAUCUCCUGUUGACUGUUACACUAUUGUUCUUCAGAAGUUUGAGAUGAGACAUCAAAAAAAUGAAAUGACCUGAUCUACAAUACGAUGACUACAGCAAACAUGGUAAUUGAAUUCCUCUGGAAUAUACAGCCAGAAAGGCUUUUUAAGAGCUAUUUUUAUCCAAGUCAGAGCAGAGAUCUGAAGGAUAUACUGAAAGGCUACAAGAGCCAGGUCUCUCUUGCUCUCGGAUAUAUUGUGCAUGGAUAUUGCAGAGUAAUCAUCUUAAGAGGAGGAAUCUACUGCAAAUGUGGAAAUCUGCUCCAUAUAGUUACACCCAGGAAGAAAACCGGACAAAACAGCCGCAACGUGGAAUCACUGCAUCAAGACCAGCCAAAUAUAUUUCUUUGACUGUUUUAUUUUUUUUCACAAAUUGUAGAACAUCUUUAAGGCUAUCCUCAUAUUCUACCAUUUGUACUAGUGUGCGCGCGGAGCCCAGGGAGUAUGUGCGACGUAUGGAUGAGGGUUGCGAUUUACCUAGUUCUUCUCAUUUGUUGAUUUUAAACUCAGAAAACAUGUCUGAUUAGUUCUUCAUAAUCUGAAAGCAUACAUUGUGGGACUCCUGCAGCAUUGACAAAGCAUAUCCUCACUAAAUUCACAAAUAAACCCUGUUACAGCCAGACCUGGAGCGAUAAAUUAGCAGAGUUAAUUUUUACCCCUCCUUAUGUGGUCAUACCAGAAAUAACAUCCAGGAUUACACCCAAAGAUGACAAGGAGAUUGGAGUUGGGGAAGUAAAUUGUUCACAAGAAGCAAAUUUUCUUUCAAAAACAAAUUACCACAAAUUUUCUUGGGUUUACAACUCUAAGUGCAAAAAUGUCUACAUUUAAAGCCAGUACCUUUCUAGAACAGAUGAAAAUUACUUUUGAUAAAGUAAUUUAAAGUUCUGUCCCUCGAAGAGCUGAAAAGUGUAGCAAAGGAGUUGGCGUUAGAAUUUUGCCCGAUAGCCAGGAAACCUGAAAAUUUAAAACUAGCGGCUAGAGAAUUAGAUCGCAAACCUGGAGAGGUUGCAACAGAAAGUCUAACUUUAGCAAAAUUACAGAUAGAACAGAGAUGUCUAGAGCUAGAAUUCCAAGCUAGGGGAAGAGAGAAGAAAUAAAAGAAAACAAUGAUGAGGGGAAAGCAAAAAAAGAGAAAAAUUGAGAGGAAAGGGAGAGAACAAGCUUUACAACGAGAAUAGCAAGAAAGGGAGAUAAGAAUAUGUAAACUACAUAGGGAUAGAUCCUGUGGCCACUGAAGGCACCCCUAGUUCAGGUUGGAGUUCAAAUUAUUCAAAUUUGCCCAUUUAAUCCCCAAGUUUGAUGAGGAAGAUGUGAAAGCCUUCUUCAUCUCUUUUGAGAGAGAGUAGCUCAGCAAUUGGAGGUAGCCAGGAGAAAGCUGGGCCCUGCUCCUCAAAACAAGCUAUCAGGCAAGGCUCACAAAGUUUACUCCCUGUUGCCUGAUGAGAGUUUGGCCAACCAUGGAGGUGGUAAAGGUGGCAAUUUUAAGCACAUACAAACUGGUAUCAGAGGUGUAGUGUCAGAAAUUCUGUACCCUCAGAAAAUGAUAAGGACCAAGGCGUACAUCAAAUUUGAAUGGCUUAAGCAGCCCGUGUUUGAUUAGUGGAUACGAGCACUUAAGGUUGAGGCCAUGUUAUGAAAACCUUAAAAAAAAUGCCUCUUAGUGUUCAAACAUUCACUCCUCUCUCUAUAAAAAUACACAGAGGAAUAGAAAGUGACAGGGGUCAGGCAAGUUGCAACUCUGGCUGAUGACUAUGAGCUUGACCACAAGCCCUCAUCCCAAAGGAAACCCUUCCCUAAUCUCCCCCAGCGAACUAGAAAGGAAAGGUGGGAGUGGCAGGAGGCAGAGCACCCUGAGAGAAAAGGGGUGCCUGAAAACACAGGGGCCUCUCCCCAGACCAGAAAGCACAGUGCUGAGAAAAGGAAAGAGGUUCAGAAGCCUGCAUGUUUGAAUAGCCUAAGGCCAGACACCUGCUGAUUGUUGGAAGUUAUGGGAAAAGCCAGUAGGAUUUAUUGGGGUACGUAGGCUCUGUGCAGAAAGGGAGAGAGUUAGGCAGACAGCAUAGCAGGCCAGGCUGUGGCUCUGACCACAGCAUCAAGUCCCUGUAGGCGCACCCUGUGGGUGUAGGUGAGUUUAGCAAUGCCCGAGAGUUACAAGAAUUUGUCAAAAAGAAAAGUGCCCCCAUUACACCAGGGCAAGGCAAGUAAAUCUGUAGUCACACUGAGGGAUACUGAGGCCAGCCAAUCUAUACUGCUGGAAAAAGGCAUAACCCUUCCCCCAUAGAGUGCAGUGCAGGCCAAAAUGCUAGUAAAGGGUAUCAAAGGAGAAUACAUGCCCAUACCUUUAUACAGGGUGCACCUGGAGUGCGACCUUAUUUCAGGCCUGGUGACCAUGGGAGUCAUCUCCAGUUUACCUGUGGACAGGGUCGACCUGCUCCUCGGAAAUGACCUGGCUGGAUCAAAGAUGGUAGCAUCCCCAGUGGUUUUUGAGAAACCGAGCAAGAUCAGGGAGAGCGAGCAGCAGCUGCUGGAGAAAGUCCCUGGCAUUUUUAGUGACUGCGUAAUAACCCAUUUUAUGGCCAAACUAGCACUGCAGAUGGAUUACCCUACCGGUCUGGUUAUCUGAAACCAUAUUCAUAAGUUUAAAAGGGUAUAAUUAGUAGGUCUUCCUUGGUUGCAGCUCAACAAGCCAACCCGAUGCUAAAGAAGUUAGCACAGACUGCCCAAACAGAAAGUGAAGCGGAGGAAAUCACAGAGUACUAUUAUUUUUAAAAUGAGGUACUGAUGAGAAAGUGGAGACUCUCUCAUAGAGAUGCAGAUGAGGAUGGACAUUGAUCCACCAGGAACUGGAGCCGUUGAGGUAGAGAGGGGAAAUACUGAGGCUCGCCCAUCAAAUCCUGUUGGCUGGGCACAUUAGUAUACGAAAACAAAAGCAAAUCCGCAUGGGAACGACAACUUGAACCUCAACCAAACAGACCCAGCAGGAUAAAAAGGAAGAUGUGAGGAUGCAGAUGAAUGUAUGUAUGUUUUGUUUACUUACUUUUAUUAUUAUGUGUGCUUUUCCCAGGCCUGUAAUGAAAUGAGUGUGAAUCUCAUAUCAUUCUGCAUGGAAGUGUUAUGAGGAUGUGUUUUUUUUGAAAGAGAAAAAGGUACAAUUUCUAGUGCCUUUUUUCUCUGGCUGGAUUUUUAAUGAACUGUAAUCCCAUUAAGACAGUGGAAAGGCUGUCAGCCAGCUGAAUAUACAACUUGCAUUCCACCCCCAAGUGGGAUGAAAAGGCCCAUUUCCUGUUGACUCUUACACUAUUACUCCUCAGAAGUUUGAGAUGAGUCAAAAGAAUAUAACUACAUCUUAUACAACACAAUGACUACAGCUGACAUGGUAAUCGAAUUCCUCUAGAAUAUACAGCCACCAAGGCUUUUUAAGAACUGUUUUUAUCAAGUCAGAGCAGAGAUUGGGGGAUAUAUCGAAAGGCUGCAAGAGUCAGGUUACUCUGUCACUUGGAAGUAUCGUGCAGAGCUAUUUCAGAGUAGCCAUCCUAAGAAGGGGAAUCUGCUGCACACUAAGAUCUUUUGGGGAUAAAACAUGGAAAUCUGCUCCAUAUAGCUACACCCAGGAAGAAAGCUGAACAGUAUAUUUCCUUGUUUAUUUCUUUCACGAACAAUAAACUCUCUUUGAGUCUA